rnacentral:rRNA from 1 species
GACGUACCACCCUGAACACGCCCGAUCUUGUCUAAUCUCGGAAGCUAAGCAGGGUCUGGCCUGGUUAGUACUUGGAUGGGAGAGACUCCAUCUCAAAAAAAA